rnacentral:RNase_P_RNA from 1 species
CAGGUCGGUCGGGCAGCUGCGGCAUGGCUCCGGCCGUGUCGAGGAAAGUCCGCACUCCACAGCGCAUGGUGCCGGGUAACUCCCGGGGCGGGGCAACCUGCCGGAUCGGGCCACAGAGACAUACCGCCUAAGCGUGCAGUCCGCUGCGCGCCGGUAAGGGUGAAAAGGUGGUGUAAGAGACCACCGGCGCCGGCAGUAAUGCCGGCGGCCAGGUAACCCCCACCAGGAGCAAGGCCAAGCAGGGACAAGAGGCUGCUCGCCUCGUUUGAGUUCCGGGUCGGCUGCUUGAGGCUCAGGGAGACCUGACGCCCAGAUAGAUGGCUGCCCAGGGUCAGGCCGCCAAGGGACGACACCGCUCGCGGCGUAAACCUUGGUCCUGCCCCGGACAAAAUGCGGCUUAUAGACCGGCCUGGGGA